rnacentral:tRNA from 1 species
GGGCGAGUAGCUCAGCGGGAGAGCGCCUCGUUUACACCGAGGAAGUCGGCAGUUCGAAUCUGUCCUCGCCCA